CAGCAGCCGCGGGAAGACGGAGGGUGCUAGCGUUGUUCGGAAUCACUGGGCGUAAAGGGCGCGUAGGCGGCCUGUUAAGUCGGAUGUGAAAGCCCGGGGCUCAACCCCGGAACUGCAUCCGAGACUGGCAGGCUUGAGACCGGGAGAGGAGGGUGGAAUAUCCAGUGUAGAGGUGAAAUUCGUAGAUAUUCGGAAGAACACCAGUGGCGAAGGCGACAUACUGGAUCAUUACUGACGCUGAGGCUCGAAAGCGUGGGGAGCAAACAGGAUUAGAUACCCCAGUAGUCCCUGUCUCUUAUAA
rnacentral:rRNA from 1 species